AACGAACGCUGGCGGCAUUCCUAACACAUGCAUGUCGAACGAGACCUUCGGGUCUAGUGUCGCACGGUUGCGUAACGCUUUUGAACCUUCCCUUAGGUUCUGAAUAUCUCCCCGAAAUGGUUUCUAAUUCCUGUUAUUGUCUUCUGACCAAUGAUUUUUCUCCUUUGGUUGGGCCCGCCUUGGAUUAGCUAGUUGGUAGUGUAAAAGCCUACCAAGGAGAAGAUCCAUGGCUGAUGUGCGAGGAUGAUCAGCCACACAGGGACUGAGACACGGCCCAGAGUAUUACGGGAGGCAGGAGAGGGGAAUAUAGAACAAGGGGCGAAAGCCUGAUCGAGCAAUGAAGGGUGAGUGAUGAAGGCCUUAGGGUUGUAAAGCUCUUUUAAAGGGGAUGAUAAUGACAGUACAGGGAGAAUAAGCGCGGGCUAACUCCGUG
rnacentral:rRNA from 1 species